rnacentral:rRNA from 1 species
UGCAGUCGAACGGUGAAGCCAAGCUUGCUUGGUGGAUCAGUGGCGAACGGGUGAGUAACACGUGAGCAACCUGCCCUGGACUCUGGGAUAAGCGCUGGAAACGGCGUCUAAUACUGGAUAUGAGACGUGAUCGCAUGGUCGUGUUUGGAAAGAUUUUUCGGUCUGGGAUGGGCUCGCGGCCUAUCAGCUUGUUGGUGAGGUAAUGGCUCACCAAGGCGUCGACGGGUAGCCGGCCUGAGAGGGUGACCGGCCACACUGGGACUGAGACACGGCCCAGACUCCUACGGGAGGCAGCAGUGGGGAAUAUUGCACAAUGGGCGAAAGCCUGAUGCAGCAACGCCGCGUGAGGGAUGACGGCCUUCGGGUUGUAAACCUCUUUUAGCAGGGAAGAAGCGAAAGUGACGGUACCUGCAGAAAAAGCGCCGGCUAACUACGUGCCAGCAGCCGCGGUAAUACGUAGGGCGCAAGCGUUAUCCGGAAUUAUUGGGCGUAAAGAGCUCGUAGGCGGUUUGUCGCGUCUGCUGUGAAAUCCCGAGGCUCAACCUCGGGCCUGCAGUGGGUACGGGCAGACUAGAGUGCGGUAGGGGAGAUUGGAAUUCCUGGUGUAGCGGUGGAAUGCGCAGAUAUCAGGAGGAACACCGAUGGCGAAGGCAGAUCUCUGGGCCGUAACUGACGCUGAGGAGCGAAAGGGUGGGGAGCAAACAGGCUUAGAUACCCUGGUAGUCCACCCCGUAAACGUUGGGAACUAGUUGUGGGGACCAUUCCACGGUUUCCGUGACGCAGCUAACGCAUUAAGUUCCCCGCCUGGGGAGUACGGCCGCAAGGCUAAAACUCAAAGGAAUUGACGGGGACCCGCACAAGCGGCGGAGCAUGCGGAUUAAUUCGAUGCAACGCGAAGAACCUUACCAAGGCUUGACAUAUACGAGAACGGGCCAGAAAUGGUCAACUCUUUGGACACUCGUAAACAGGUGGUGCAUGGUUGUCGUCAGCUCGUGUCGUGAGAUGUUGGGUUAAGUCCCGCAACGAGCGCAACCCUCGUUCUAUGUUGCCAGCACGUAAUGGUGGGAACUCAUGGGAUACUGCCGGGGUCAACUCGGAGGAAGGUGGGGAUGACGUCAAAUCAUCAUGCCCCUUAUGUCUUGGGCUUCACGCAUGCUACAAUGGCCGGUACAAAGGGCUGCAAUACCGUGAGGUGGAGCGAAUCCCAAAAAGCCGGUCCCAGUUCGGAUUGAGGUCUGCAACUCGACCUCAUGAAGUCGGAGUCGCUAGUAAUCGCAGAUCAGCAACGCUGCGGUGAAUACGUUCCCGGGUCUUGUACACACCGCCCGUCAAGUCAUGAAAGUCGGUAACACCUGAAGCCGGUGGCCCAACCCUUG